GGCGGAUCGCGGCGAAAGUGAAGGGUGGAAGUUAGAUUCGCAGGGUGGAACGAUUCGGAAACGGACCACUAUUUUCUCAUUUCCCGGCGGAAUGUUCCGUAGAUGUUACGCGCUUUACUUUCUCCCGGAAGUCUCCGUUCGCUUUUGCGAUUUGUAAUAAAUCUCUUUCCUCGGCUAGGCGUUUACACAUUUAUGAAAGAGCGCACGUUGCCUCACCUAUUCGCCUAUUUCAACAACAAGGCUAUUAAGCGAUUUUUAAUGUCUUUUUAAUGUCUUUUUCUUAUGUCUCUGACGGAGAUGGUUCUGUGAUGAGCUUUUAACAAGAUCGCUUUAUUGUUUUCUCGCUUCGAUUGUCCUGGGAGUCUUUUUGAUAGAACAAGUUGUCGUCGCACUCGAUAUGCUCGAAAUACUAAGUGUUCCCUCGAAGUUGGCGGGUUCGAGACUGGAUCUUUGAUGUCUAAGAUCGUCCUUAUGCAACUAAAGACGUAGUUAGAGGAUUUCCAUCAAAUUGAGCUGGCCUACAGUUAGAAGAAAAUUCAAUUGCUGAGACUCGAAUACCUCUGCACCAAAACUUAGCUGUUACAAUGAUUUCAUAUGCAUAUCAAGAUUGAAAAGGUCAAAUAGACAAUGUGAAGUUUCUUUCUGGAUCAAUAUACCCUGUGUAUUUACUCGUCGAAAAUGCGUGCAAGUUACAUCUAUGACUCUUGAUAUUCACGUACUAUACUCAGUUGCAAUCUGUGUAUUAACACGCAUAAUAAUUUUUUAUAGAAACAAGCUUUUAAUGGGGAGAGAAUGAUAUCUACAUAUCGUUGAAUUACAUUGAUUUUCCCAAGAAUUCUUCUCUUUUUAAUUGCUCAAUUAAAAUUCAAGAGGAAGGAUAUACUCACGUAAUUCGGAAACAGCUGAAACAGCUGUUUGCAUGUCAAUGCGGCAAACAUCAGAUUCCUCCGCAGCAGCUGUCGGAAUGUCCAAUAUCACUUCAGCCUGAAAAAGAAAAAUGUUGUAAAUAUGCAAAAACGCAAAAAUGUAAUCUUAGCGGAAGAGAAUGAAGUUAUUAACAUCUAACGAAUAUAUUACACGGAAUUAUGUCGGAAAUGUUUGAUUAAUUGAAGAGUUCUUCUGUCAAAAACAAGGCCAACAAUUGUGGACGUGUUGUUGAGCAAUGACUGUGUGACGCAAGUAUUCCAAGUUCUCGAAAACUGUCGUGCAACUCGAACGUGAUUCAGAAUUCAUCGUUACAUCGCGUUAGCAGCAGCAGCAACGGCAAUAAAGAUUCAAAUUACAAUAUGCGAAGCCUUCGCAACAUCGUCGUAAACGUAAAGGCAAUUUCGGAGGAUUUAUGCAUAUACAUAGGAAAAAUACAGGCGUAACCGGCAAUUCAAAAAUGUUCACAAGACGAGAAAAGAUAUGUCCAUUCCACUAAAGGUUUCUAACAAAUCAUUAAUGUUAUCAAUACUACUUUGGAAGUGACAACAUUGAUAUACAGCGAAGUUAUGAUGUAAAAUGCUACCGACAAUAAUGUCGUGAUAAUGUUUGAUUAGUGCUAUCCAUUAAUUCCUCGACAAUACUAAUAACAAAUAGCGCUGAUAAUGAGUUUCGUAAACGCAACUUCUUUCUUGUUGGAAAGUACCUUAAGAGCCGGUCUCACAACUUACGAUUAAUUUAAUCAAUUGAUUAAAUUUAAUAACUAAUUGCAAUAUUUGC